GAUGAACGCUGGCGGCGUGCCUAAUACAUGCAAGUCGAGCGAACGGACGAGAAGCUUGCUCCUCUGAUGUUAGCGGCGGACGGGUGAGUAACACGUGGAUAACCUACCUAUAAGACUGGGAUAACUUCGGGAAACCGGAGCUAAUACCGGAUAAUAUAUUGAACCGCAUGGUUCAAAAGUGAAAGACGGUCUUGCUGUCACUUAUAGAUGGAUCCGCGCUGCAUUAGCUAGUUGGUAAGGUAACGGCUUACCAAGGCAACGAUGCGUAGCCGACCUGAGAGGGUGAUCGGCCACACUGGAACUGAGACACGGUCCAGACUCCUACGGGAGGCAGCAGUAGGGAAUCUUCCGCAAUGGGCGAAAGCCUGACGGAGCAACGCCGCGUGAGUGAUGAAGGUCUUCGGAUCGUAAAACUCUGUUAUUAGGGAAGAACAUAUGUGUAAGUAACUGUGCACAUCUUGACGGUACCUAAUCAGAAAGCCACGGCUAACUACGUG
rnacentral:rRNA from 1 species